rnacentral:rRNA from 1 species
GCAGCCGCCGCGGUAAAACAGAGGGUGCGAGCGUUAAUCGGAUUUACUGGGCGUAAAGCGUGCGUAGGCGGCUAAUUGAGUCGGAUGUGAAAUCCCCGAGCUUAACUUGGGAAUUGCAUUCGAUACUGGUUAGCUAGAGUGUGGGAGAGGAUGGUAGAAUUCCAGGUGUAGCGGUGAAAUGCGUAGAGAUCUGGAGGAAUACCGAUGGCGAAGGCAGCCAUCUGGCCUAACACUGACGCUGAGGUACGAAAGCAUGGGGAGCAAACAGGAUUAGAUACCCCCGUAGUCCCUGUCUCUUAUAA